UUUGAUGGAUCCGAGCCACAGGGGCCGUUGCUGGUCCCGGUGUUGUCCGUAGGUGGCGAGGAGGGCUUGGGCUUC
rnacentral:antisense_RNA from 1 species